rnacentral:SRP_RNA from 1 species
GAAGUUGGUGAUUGGACGUUGUCCUCGCCAACCCGGUCAGGUUCGAAAGAAAGCAGCCGUAACGAGUAAGCGGCGGGUCGAUCAUCAAUUUCCCA